AUUUCUCAGAGGCCUAUAUGCUCUGGGCGCUCACUUUCUGCUAUGGAGAUUAUCUAUAGGUUCCUUAUGCUACAAGGGCUGUCUAUGGGAAAUAUGUUGACUGUUACGUGGACUAUAUGAGGACUUUAUUCUGUAGCCAGAAGCGUUGCCCAUCCUCCAGCGCGAAAAACCACCUGACACGGGAUCCGAUCGUGUUCAUUAACGCCGCAAAAUCAUUUCACGUACAGCAGCUGCAGUUUAUCUAUUCUGGCAUUCCAGCCAUUUUGUAAAGCAAAGGUAACAUAUGAGACGUGUUUAUGGACUGAAAGGGAAUCCGUGUUUGUAUUUUAUCGUCUAAGUGACAUAUACGCAAGGAAUCAGUGGGGAUGUGGCAGGUAAUUAUGCAAAGUAGGUCUAAUUAUCUCAUUAAUAUGUAUGCACACAAGACGCUUCGCCUCUAUAGGUGAUUUAUAGGUGGGUUACCUGCAUUAACUAUUUGUUAUCCUUUGAAACCCCUACAGCUCACUAUUAGGCUGAGUAAAUAUUAUAGCAGCAU